CACGUAGUUAGCCGGUGCUUCUUAUCUACCUACCGUCACCACAAGUGGCUUCGUCGAUAGCGAAAGGAGUUUACAACCCGAAGGCCGUCAUCCCCCACGCGGCGUCGCUGCAUCAGGCUUGCGCCCAUUGUGCAAUAUUCCCCACUGCUGCCUCCCGUAGGAGUCUGGGCCGUAUCUCAGUCCCAAUGUGUCCGUACACCCUCUCAGGCCGGAUACCCGUCGCCGCCUUGGUAGGCCAUUACCCCACCAACAAGCUGAUAGGCCGCAGGCUCAUCCCACACCGCAAAAGCUUUCCACCACAACAUCCAAGAAGUGGUCCUAUAUGGUAUUAGACCCAGUUUCCCAAGCUUAUCCCAUAGUGCAGGGCAGAUCACCCACGUGUUACUCACCCGUUCGCCACUCGAGUACCUGUACAAGUACAGGCCUUUCCGUUCGACUUGCAUGUGUUAAGCACGCCGCCAGCGUUCAUCCUGAGCCAGGAUCAAACUCU
rnacentral:rRNA from 1 species